AUUGAACGCUGGCGGCAGGCCUAACACAUGCAAGUCGAACGAGUGGCGGACGGGUGAGUAAUGUCUGGGAAACUGCCUGAUGGAGGGGGAUAACUAGGGGAAAGGGUAGAUAAAACGGCAUAACAUGGGAUGGGCCCAGAUGGGAUUAGCUAGUAGGUGGGGUAAAGGCUCACCUAGGCGACGAUCCCUAGCUUGUCUGAGAGGAUGACCAGCCACACUGGAACUGAGACACGGUCCAGACUCCUACGUGCGGCAGCAGUGGGGAAUAUUGCACAAUGGGCGCAAGCCUGAUGCAGCCAUGCCGCUUGUAUGAAGAAGGCCUUCGGGUUGUAAAGUACUUUCAGCGGGGAGGCGUUACCCGCAGAAGAAGCACCGGCUAACUCCGUGCCAGCAGCCGCGGUAAUAC
rnacentral:rRNA from 1 species